rnacentral:lncRNA from 1 species
CGCCAUUUGGAGUGGAAAAAUCUAAUGAUAGGUGUCUACACCAUAGAGGUAAGGUCAUGUACAACACAUCUACACCACAUUUACCCUAUCUUAUUAAUAAGGUUAUGAAGCCAACCAAUCUAAUUACCAACAAACCAUGAAAGCUUGAAGUUGCUAACCAAUUAGCACUUUUUAGUUAGGGAUUUAAACUAAUAUGAGGUUGGUGCUUUUUUCUAGACAAGAAACCUUGAAAUAAUGGGGUAAGUGCCAUCCCGUUUGGCGCCAAGUCUUUAAGAGAAUCUCAAGGCCAACAUGACAUAGUUGUUUAUCACAAAUUGUUUCUUAAAAAAAUAGGGAAAGUAUCCCACUGGUCUGCUUUUGGGCACCAUGUAUCCAUCUUUUGUGUAGGACAGCAAAAUAAUAUUGUGGUGCCAAGUUUUGGCCCAUUUUGCUAGGCAAUCAUGUCUUACUUCGCCUAUUAAAGCAACACAUUUUACAUGACUCACUCCACACAUGUACGCGCGCGCACACACACACGCACACACAAACACACAUUGCAAACUUUAUCACAUAAACAACCUCCAUGCCUGCAAUAUUUCCAUUGAAGGAAAUAUUUGUGAAAACAAGUUCAUUUGAGCAACAUCUACACCAUGCAAUUAACAAUUAAAGGCGGAAUAAUGCUUGUAUGCACUCAAAAACAAAACUUUACCCAUGAAAUUCAAAGCCUAAUGAGUGUGGUGAACCAAGCCUCAACUCAGGAACAAAGUGAGUUAAGAAAUAUUAUACCUUUAUUGAUUCCUCUUUGCAUAAGCAAAGGCUAAUCACCUAAGAGAUAGGGUCUUCAUUCCUUACUUCUUAGCUCCAUGGAUUUCUUGGAGGAGGAUGGUGGAAUGGAUUCUCCAAGUUCCCAAGAAAGGGAACCUCUAAGUCUCCACACCAAGGAGAGCAUUGAUGAGGAGAUGAGUGACCUAAGAUGAUUUAGAUGCUAGUAAAACUUUCCUAGGGUGGCCAGCCUCUUAGAGAGAAAAGGGAGCUUGUGUUCUCAUCUUUUCUCCAAAAGAAACCCUUAAAUGAAUUUUGGCUAUAAAGUUCUUUAUAUAGUCACUUCACUUAAGUGACAAAAAUAACCAAAACCCUAUUUCAUCAAUAUGGCCAGCCUUUUAUGGUCUUUGGGCUAUUUGGGCCCUCUUGAAUCUUUAUUCAUUAAGUUGUCAUACAACUUAAUGAAGGAAAAUUUUGUGAAAACAUGUUCAUUUAAGCAACAUCUAUAAGCAUGCAAUUAACAAUUAAAGGCGGAAUCAUGCUAG